GCCUGGCUGGCUCAGUUGGUAGAGCAUGUGACUCUUGAUCUCAGGGUUGUGAGUUCCAACUCCACGUUGGGUG
rnacentral:tRNA from 1 species